rnacentral:lncRNA from 1 species
UAAAUUUAUAUAAUAAUAAUAUUAAUAACAUUCUUAAAAUUGAUAAAGUAACUUAUAAGAAAAAUAUUUAUAAGAAAAAUAUUUUUCGUUAAAAAAAAUUAAAAAAAAAAAGAUAAUUAUGAAUAAAUUAAUGACCUGCAUGCAUUGGACCCUGCCACCGUUGCUGGCGAGGGAGGUGAUAUCAGCGGAGGUUUUGGUGGUGGCUGGGAAGGCGGAGGUGGACUUGAGGCCGGUGAAUGGUGCCACCAUGCUGGCUUGAGCAGGGCUAGCUCUGUUAAUGCUAGCCACAGUUGCAGUUGAAAGCAUAGAGGUAGCCAUUUCAAAUUCCCCUUUCUUGCUUACAAGUAGACUUUUGUUGUUCAACCUCUUGCUU